UGAAUUCUAUCAAUUUCCCCGUUUUCUUUCCGCGGCAACCGUAGCCAAUCGGCCUGCGCACGCGGCUGCGGAGGGGGCUGUAAUCACAGCCCUCCCUCUCAGGCCGGGGCUGCCCUGCACUUGUUUUCAUCCUGCGAGCUCAGUUGCUGGGUCUGUUUCCAGGGGUGUCUUUCAGUGGGUGGCAUGAGCUGUGGAAUCAGUCACACAAAUGAUCCACCAUAUAUAAAAAGGCCACCGAUACAUCAACAGCCCUUAAAACCAAGCAACGGUUAAAAUAACUACUAGACCAACAGCAGCAAACGCACCCGGCAGCCCAGCAAAGAGACACCGAGAAGGCAAAUCCUGGCAUUUGGCUCCUGAUUUACGCCCCACUUACCAUCUAUUCAGGGCAUGAAACAUUCUGAAGAGCAGAUGCUAAAAAAUGGGGAAAGCUUGCCGUAACAAGCUGAAAGGCAAGGUGCUGGGGUAUUUAUGUUCCUAAAGAGGAGCGUCUUUGCCAAGUGCACCCCGAGUAGGGAAGCUGGUGACACGAACACUGUAUGGAACCUCCCAGGCUGCCACCUUUGCCUGCUGCUAGAUGUGACCUGUGCUGUCUUAGCAGAGUUGGAAGCCUCAAAGAGACAGACCCAGGGCUGCAAGGGACGAGAGAGACUGCCAGAACAUCAUUCCUGCUGUCUCUGACUGAGCACCUGAGCGACCGAGACGGGAGAGGGCUGGAGAUCACUGAACCACACCACAGACAGGCCGUGACUUGGGGAGACUAACUCUGAGCCAGCCCAAGUUUUAAAUGCUGAAGGUGGAGGGGAAGCAGGCUACUCUGGAGAAAGAAAAGGAAACACGAUGGCAUUUUAACUGAAGCUGCACACUCUGCCAGGUCACUUGGGCAUCCUUCCUGCACUCUACUGAAGUGUGGAGAGCCACAUGGGGGACAACGAAAAACAGCACCCACCCCUAGAGUCCCCUGGGAGUCCUUGAGGAAAUCACCCAAAACAAAGAGAGAGCAAAGAUGUGAGGGGAGCUUGGGGAAGACGGUUGACACUGAAGAUGAAGACGUGCACUUCACUGUGUUUGUAAAGGGAGAACAGAGCAGUGUCUGUUUCGUCCCUCUGACCUGCCAUGGGUAGUGUCUCUACGUUUACGGUGAUUGCGUUGGGCCCGCCCAGAGACUCCAGGGUAAUGUCUCCAACUCAGGGUCCUUAAUCUAAUCACACCUGCAAAGUGCCCUUUGCCACCGUAUUCACAGGUCCUGGGGAGAAGGAUGUGGGCAUCUCUGGGGAGGUCCAUAUUCUGGCCACUGCAGUUGGCAAUCAUUAUUUCUCAGAA